AUCCAUUUACAGUCCUUUUUCUCAUCUAAGUGAUUCAAUUUUCUCAGCAGUCUAUAAAUUACAAGAGUCGUCUAUAAAGCUCUCUAAGUGAUACAAAAUCCAUAGUAUAAAGUACUGAUCCAGGCAAGCUAAUUAAACAAGCCAUUCAGAUACUAGUUCUAUGGCCAAGCCAAGUUUUUGGCAAUGGAAUUCUCCAGUUCCAUAUGUCUACUGCUUUUUUGCCUUCCUCUUGGUGCUCCUUGCCUGUGCUUUAGUCAUUCUGUUCUGCUCUCAUCCAUUUUCCUCAGAAUCCAAAAGCGAUGCAGAAGAAAAGGAAACAAGAAACUUGAGCGCUGUAGAUCCAGAGAUGAUCACAGUAUUAGUAGUCUUGCCAGGACAUGCCAAUCCCAUGUACGUAGCAAAGCCCCUGGCUUCUAGUACUGCUGCUUCUGCAGCUAACCACCUGUAAAUCAUGUAUAGCUUUUUAGCUUUGAAGAUGGAUGUUUGACUGUAACUUUGGAACGUUUUCACCAUGUUUGUAUUGCAAUACAAAGAAUCUGACCGAAUUUUCCACGGCUUUUCAAACAGUAGCAUCGGGAUUUUCAAUCGUGAUUCAUGAAUGUCAAGAAAUCUAUCAUGUCAGAUCUAAGAUUUUGGCACCUUCCAGCAUGCUUGUCUAAAAAUCCAUCUGCAUUUUUCAUUCUAUAUAUGUCUUCUAAUCUAAGUGGAUAAAUAGUACAGGUACUUUACUAAGUCAGGAUUUACAACUGGCAUCGAUCAUUUCACACUGUGUUUCUAAAGAUUUUUAUAGCAUCUGAGUCGCUUUUUUUUUUUUUUCUUUUUCUUUGAAGAUCAAUCAAGAUCUUAUCCAUUGUUGCAGCUUGAUUAAUCUUUUCUGCAUUGAUAAUGUAUAAAGAAUUCGAAUUCGAUACAUACCUGAUGCCACUUCAUAUUGGCUUGUGUUGUAGUAUAAGAUUAUUUUGCAUUGAUACAUUGUUGCAGUUUGAUUAAUCUUUUCUGCAUUGAUAAUGUAUAAAGAAUUCGAAUUCGAUACAUAUCCGAUGCCACUUCAUAUUGGCUCGUGUUGUAGUAUAAGAUUAUUUUGACUCUUGGAUGUAGGAGGAAAAAGUGUAAAAAUAUAAGAAGUAGGAGGUACAGGACUUUCUUUUUUUUGUCAUCACAGGGAGUAUCCCUUGUGGACUAAUCUCCCUUUGUCUGUGCACCCGCCUCCCAAGAUGCACAAGACAGUAGAAGAAAUCGAACCACAAUCACAUGGUGCAGGAACCUAACGAGGCAACCCAACACCAGCCGAGCCGACACCCGAGGGACAGGUACAAGACUUUUCUUAGGACAGCGAAAUUUUACUUGGUUUCAUUGAAUUUGAUUGAGCCAUCGUCAGGAGUAACAAUUGUGGUUUGCUAAUUCAAUUUAACCUCUUCUUUUGCAUGUUCAUUUUCACACAUUUCCUUUACCAAUCUUUCUCCUCAAUACUGUAGCUCGGCUCCAAUCCUGUUGCUAUUCGGGCACUGAACUACUGUUAUAUCUAAUGGUUGUCGUGGUCAACAAAAAACUGUACUCAACAGCGAGUGGCACUUACCACUAGGCCCAACAUCCCAUGAUUGAAAUAUUAAAAGAGAGCAUGACUAUUAAUUACCCAAUUAUUUCAUGUAAAUCACGCAGUAUUAAGUCAAGUAAUUGAGAAUUGGAUAUUUUUGCUUAAAAAGUACAAUUUCCAUGCAUCAUUAUUUCUUUUUUAUACUUCUUCUUUUCAAUUCAUUUGGAAAGAAGAAAAAGAAGAAGAAGAAGAAGAAAACGUCUGGUUCAGUAAUAACAUUUUGUCAUCAAAUGCCUAAACUAUAACAAACCUUCAGAAAGCACCUGCAAUAGUCUUUCUUGAACAGGUUCAAAUUGGCAAGAGUUUUUUUUUUGGGGGGGGGGGGGGGGGGUUUGGUAUAUACAGAAGGGACAAGACAAUUAACGGGGAAAAAAAGGUGUGUGUGACAUCAGGUUUGUGAGGACAGAUCGAAACAAUUUCAGCCAUGGCAGCAGCAUACAAUAGGAAAAUUCAUGGCAACAUAGGAAACUAAUUGAUUUGAACAAAUAUGGAAAGAGAAAGCAACAACUCCUACUGAGACAAAGAGAAUUCAAUCAUAUCCCAAUUUGACUAAAUUUUACUAUUAUCAUAUUAUUCCUUUUAGGAACUAUGCAAUGUGCACCACAUUCUUAAUUCAGAUCAGCAAUCCUAAAUGUGAAAAUCGUCAAUUACUAGAUCUUUCCAGCUUUCUGAUGAUUUUUGUUCUUUUUGAUUAAGAAACAUUUGCUUGUUCACAUGGAGCCCAAGACAAGUGCAAGUCAAGAUACGAUCCACCAAAAGGACAACCAACAAGAGUAACACAGUGGCCUUACUUGUCCGGUAUUGCAAUUGAUCAAUAAGCCACAACAGAACAAAUGGACGUGGGGAACAACUAAAAAGGGGUUGGGAACAGUGUAUGUCCCAUGCCAUUUGGGGUUCUUUCUUAAGUCUCUUUUGUUCCUUCACUUGAAGCUAUAUCUGGACCCAUGAGAUGAGAUGUCCCAAGAAAAUGAAAGCUCUCCAAUUUUUAACAUGCAUAAAAUACAAAUGACUGUUG
rnacentral:lncRNA from 1 species